GAAUUUCAAGGACCAAGUACUCGUUCAGACAUACCUCGAGCGGACAGAUGGGAGCUUGCUCCCUGAUGUUAGCGGCGGACGGGUGAGUAACACGUGGGUAACCUGCCUGUAAGACUGGGAUAACUCCGGGAAACCGGGGCUAAUACCGGAUGCUUGUUUGAACCGCAGGUUCAAACAUAAAAGGUGGCUUCGGCUACCACUUACAGAUGGACCCGCGGCGCAUAGCUAGUUGGUGAGGUAAUGGCUCACCAAGGCAACGAUGCGUAGCCGACCUGAGAGGGUGAUCGGCCACACUGGGACUGAGACACGGCCCAGACUCCUACGGGAGGCAGCAGUAGGGAAUCUUCCGCAAUGGACGAAAGUCUGACGGAGCAACGCCGCGUGAGUGAUGAAGGUUUUCGGAUCGUAAAGCUCUGUUGUUAGGGAAGAACAAGUACCGUUCGAAUAGGGCGGUACCUUGACGGUACCUAACCAGAAAGCCACGGCUAACUACGUGCCAGCAGCCGCGGUAAUACGUAGGUGGCAAGCGUUGUCCGGAAUUAUUGGGCGUAAAGGGCUCGCAGGCGGUUUCUUAAGUCUGAUGUGAAAGCCCCCGGCUCAACCGGGGAGGGUCAUUGGAAACUGGGGAACUUGAGUGCAGAAGAGGAGAGUGGCAUUCCACGUGUAGCGGUGAAAUGCGUAGAGAUGUGGAAGAACACCAGUGGCGAAGGCGACUCUCUCGUCUGUUACUGACACUGAGGAGCGAAAGCGUGUGGAGGGGCA
rnacentral:rRNA from 1 species